rnacentral:rRNA from 1 species
UACGUAGGGAGCAAGCGUUGUCCGGAUUUAUUGGGCGUAAAGAGCGUGUAGGCGGCCUGGCAGGUCCGUUGUGAAAACCCGAGGCUCAACUUCGGGACGCGAUGGAAACCGCAAGGCUAGAGUCCGGAAGAGGAGAGUGGAAUUCCCGGUGUAGCGGUGAAAUGCGCAGAUAUCGGGAGGAACACCUAUGGCGAAGGCAGCUCGCUGGGACGUUACUGACGCUGAGACGCGAAAGCGUGGGGGAGCAAACAGGG